AAACACAUACGUGCGCGCACGCCGUGGACGGAAGCAGGAAGAGGGCCUAGGCUGCAUUACCUCUCGGAUCUGCUGCAGGCGCUCCUCCAGGCUGUGGCGGCUCUCCAACUCCAGCUUCAGCUUUUCCAGCCUCGAGAUCAGCUCAGCUGCAAAGGACUCAACAUGGCCGAAAACAGCUGUCUCCUCACUCCAGACUGUACUCACCGGGAAAUGAGGUAGAGACACUUGGCCAUUGGCCUUCACACUGCGAUGCAUUUCUCUCUGGAGCUGUUUCUUACUGCCCACACGAUAAGGAGGAAUUCCAUCUCUAAGGGAAAGGAAAAGAGAAUCCACAGGCUUACAAGGAUGUUUUCAGCACACGGGCUACUCUCAUAUGCCAUCUUGAGAUCCCGCCGACAGGGCCACAUGCUUCCAUAGGAGUGUCACGUGUCUCCAGAUACCAUCGGUGCUCCCACAGGGAAGGACCCACCCAAGAUCAAAUUUAAAUCCUGCCCAUCAAUCAUCUAUGGAAACUUGGCUUCCUUGGAUGCAGAAGCAUCGACUUGGAAAGAGCCUGGAAAGUUAAUCUCUUGGGCUGUUGUCUUAGAACUGGGUUACACUCCAGCCAGCCCAGGCAGAGCAAAGGCUCCCCUAUUUUACAGGUGCCCCAAGUAGGAGAUUCUCAGGCCCCACUGGUCCUCCCACUUGUUCCCACUGCUUCAAACCAGGAACCAGUGCCUUAUGGAUAGGGCCAGGGCAGAAAGUUGUAGGGAUAAGAACCAAACCUACAGAGGGCUAAAUCAGGCAUUAGUGAAGCAUGCAUAACUCUCCAAGUCAACCUCCCAGUCAUUUCCAAAUGUAUUUCUUUUUAUAAACCAGUACAGGGUGAUUAAUAAAAAGAAUAUAUAACAUUUUGGCCCCUUCUCUCAGCUCCAAACCCUACCACCCCCAACCAGUGAAUUUUCAAAGACAUAUGACCAAUGUGGGCAUGAAGAGAAAAGCCCCUACUAUUUGGUGGUCUGUGCAAUCCAUUUAAAGAUUAGCACCUACUAUGUGCCAGAUCUUCUCCUAGGCACUAGGCAAGAGAGCAGUAGACAAAGUGGAUACAUAAUUCAAACAACUGCCCUCUUGAAGUUUAUAUUCUAAUAGGGAGGCACAGGCAAUGAACAAAAUAAAAAAUAGUAUGUUAGUGAUAUGUACUAUGAAUAAAUACACAGCAGGAAAAGGAGAAUCCCUGGUGAGCGGGUAAGCUGCAGAUUUAAAUUGGAUGUGGGUGUCAAGUCCUCAUUGAGAAAGGGACCUUUGGGCAAAGACCUGAAGAAGUAUGGGCCCCUAUCCAUUAUAUUUUUAAAAACAAAACAUUAACAAGUAGAAGAAUUUUUAAAAAGCCUCCACUCCAGCUAGUGUUCACUACAACUAUGACGUGGAGUUGCCAUGAUUUUUUCCAGAAAGAAUUUCCUUCUUAAAAGCAGAAUGGUCAAGGUGUGACUAUUUUCCCAUUGAUGUCCCUUCAGGAGGCCACUUACUUACAAAAGCCUCAGGGUGCAAACAUUUUCAUAAUGAAUCAUACUUGGAGGCUGUAAAUAUUGGAAUCGGGUGUUUGGCUACUUCCCUUUCCCCAAUGUCUGGUUCAUCAUAGGGUGGAAGAAAAAUAGGAUAAUUAGCAAUGUCUAAAAAUACCCAGGGGGCAAGCCAGGAGUAACUAGUCAACCUCUAGCUCCUUAUCUGAAAUGCCCUAGAAUUCUAAAUAGCUGCAUCUUCAGGAAGUCUACUGACCUAGGUCAGAAAACAGGAACACAAGGGACAAUGAAGAUUCCAAUAGAUCAACAAACCAAUGUAUGUUAACCAAACCCUGGCUAAGGAGUGCAUAAAGGAUAAUUGCACUGAGGUGAGUAGGGAAGGGAGAGAAGAGAGAUCAGUAUCCAGAGCAACAACUUACCCCCAAGUGUGAGUACUGCCCCAAAGAAAGGUGAGUAUGGAGCAGAGACAGAGCACUGUGGGAAGGAUUCGCAGCAGCUGGCUGACCAGUGCUGGAGAAACACGUCUCCUACUCAUGACUGAGAAACAGUCAGCCUCCUACUCAUGAGGCUCGGCACUUGACCAAGCCCACCUAAAGAUUAUUUAUCAAAACUCUGUGUCUUCACCUUGGGUAGUUGCAAACGGGACUUACAAGCAUGCCUGGCUUGACCAGAAACCAAAUCGCACCCAAGGCAACUGAUGCCAACCUGAGAAUGCCAGCUCAUACAUACCGAGUCCCUACUGUACAUCAGACAUUGGACCUAUAAUCAGACUUCAUUCUCAUAAGAACCUUAAUGAGCCACAUUUUACAGAUGACCAGAAAUGCUCAAUAGCUCACCUAGUGUUACCGUCAGUAGCAGAUUGACAACUCAUACCCAAGCCACUGCUGGACUCCAGAACAGGCAUCUGUAACAACCUACACUUGGUCAUUUCAAUAAGAUGCCCUUCCCAGCCCCAAUCAGCAGUCAAGCUUCCUGAUGGUCUUAAUGUGGAGGUGCCAUUUCCUAAGCCCCACGCAGUCACCUGACAUUGAUAAGGCAUGAGGGGGAAAUUUGUGGAAUUUUCUGGAAAGUCCUCCCCAACCACCUAGUACUCACUAGCUAUGGGGCUCGCCAGGUGGUUCCCAAGCCAUGCUGAAUAUCCCCAUCUCUCACCUAAGAUACCUUGUAUGGUAGGGGUGGCGGUAUCCCACAGAUUGGGCUCAUGCUGGUCUAACCAAAUUCUGCUGCCCUAGAGCUGUAAGACAAUGUCUACCCUCCAUCUCUCUUCCAGGGACUUAAGACAGUGGAUGACUCUGCUUCAGCCCUGUUCCUGACAGUCUUGGGGGCAGGAGUCAAGCACUCCAUGGACCCCACCAUGACACAAGUGACAUAAGGCUUCAAGAGUCCUAGAAGAGUCCCCCGUCCACCCCCUCCAAGACUCUGACAUUUCCACUGGUAGCUUUCACUCUUCCUUCUCCCAGAUGAAAGUCAAUGGUAGAGCUUUUAUGCCUCUUUUUCUUCUUCCAUAUAAUAAGGUUAAAAAAAAAAAACAGGAUGGGGGUAGGGAUGGGGAGGGGAGUAGAUAACUGCAAUAUUGAAGGCAAAAGGAACAAAUGAUUUCAUAAGCACCUCAUACCCCGCCCCCCAUCCCCCACCACGACCACCACACACACUCCAUUACCCAGGGCAGGUGAAGAACUAAACUGCUGGAAAGGCAACUUGUAACCAGAGCAGAAAAGGAAGAUGUCAGCCUGUAGAGGCUCAGAAAGGCUUAACAGGCGCCUUCAAGGAAAUGUGGCUUUAAUUCCCUCCAGCCAAGAAUCUUCUUCCAAAACAGCCCCUCAUUCCAAAAGGGGGCCUCUCUUCUUUUAUUCAAGCUCUAAAAGUCUGUGAUCAGUUUCCUGGCUGCUCAAGCCUGUGGGCUGGAGAACACCAGAGUUUUGGUCCCUAUACGGUCUCCUUUAAUUAUAAACAUUUUAGUUAACGAGCCUGCUGCUGGGCCCAGCUGUUUCUGGGGAGCAUGGUUUUGAAGUGUGGACUCCACUUAGCUGCCAUUUGAGCCGAGCCAAUUAGCUUAGCCUUUUGACUCCACCGUGCCCGACCUAACCUGAAUGUCAUUUUCUGGCGACUUUGAAAUAGCAGACUCAUGCACACAUGCGUCCACUCGCAUCUUCAUUUGGCAACCACUCUGAAGGCAGCCUCUGAUCACAGCCAACAUCAAAAGCCUGGUUUGUAGGAAAAGGUUAAUAUUUGAAGUUCACUCAGAUGCAUUUCCUGGUGUCCAAAGUAAACCCCCAUAAAUAAGAUAUAAAGAAAUACAAAUAAAUAACUCGCGACAUUCCCUGUGUGAAACACCAAAAAAUCAUCUUGUGCUGAUUUGGGGACACUCAGAGCUGAAGCAACAUACAAACGUAGUUGAUCCUGAUUACAAGAGCAACUCCUAGCAGAAAGAAGAGACAAAGGCCUCCACACCACUGACUUAGCUUUCAUGAUUCCUGGCAACAUCUAACCAUGGCUACACUUGGGCGGCAAAGAGUCUGCUGCUUCUGACAUUUUCACCGUCUUCACUCCAUCCUUCUAAGCCUGAUGCCCUGGAAUGGCCCACAAGCCUUCUGCCUCCAGUGCUGCAAGGAUUUUGGUGGGAGUCUGGCAGUUAACGUUAAAAAAAUUUUUUUUGGCAGGUU